CAAGAACUGAUGCUGGAAGUAAGACAUGAUCGUGAGAUAGGAUUGGUUUGAAGAGAGAAAACAAUAUGAAAUACCAUCAGGGAGCAUAAAAGGAAUCCCAAAGAAUGCGUUUUAAAGAUGAAAAAACUUGAAUUUGAAGAAAUUGAGGACCACGUAUUUCUGAGUCAGAUACACCCUAUUAGUUCACACACAGAAGAUGCUGCAACCUAUAGGGAGUGGGAAUACAAGCCUCGAAAAUGCCUGCUUUCCCACGCAAGCACCAAACAGCUACUGAAGGAUCCCAAAACAUGACCAAGAUCUAAAUGAACCUCUGAAGAGUAUUGCAUGGAAGGUUGCAUUGCUUCAGGACAUGAGAAAAAUCCCAUAAGCCUACCUGAGCAAGAGAAGGAGGAAAGGUGAGAGAGGAGGAAGAAUGUACAGCACUCCAUGUUUUAUUCAUUUCUCCGGAAAGCUGUGGAUAUUAACUAAUUACCCAACUCAGGGCAUCCCUGCAGGAUGAAGAAAGGUAAUCCUGUUGUUCCCUACUUUAAGAAACACUGAGUCAAAAAUAAAUUAUUAAAUGAAUCAUGAAGUGUAUUUAGAGAGGGGUUCAGCAGAAGGUUGUAUUUUUAAGAGAGUGUUCCCCUAGUGCAUGUAAAACAUGCCUUCAUUUAUAAAACUUGAGGCAUUUUUCGACAGAAUGCCAUUAUUAAGAGCUCCAAGUCUGUAA